GGGUUAGUAGGUUGGUCAUGCCUCUGGUAUGUGCUGGUCUCACUGAUUCCUCCUUCCUGAUGAACCUUAAUGCCAUUAAUUUGGUGUUGCGGGGAAUUUGGUCUGUUACUUUGAAAAAAUUAGAGUGUUUAAAGCAAGCUAACGCUUGAAUACACUAGCAUGGAAUAAUGAAAUAGGACGUUCGACCCCAUUUUGUUGGUUUCUAGGAUUGACGUA
rnacentral:rRNA from 1 species